rnacentral:rRNA from 1 species
UGGGGAAUAUUGGACAAUGGGCGAAAGCCUGAUCCAGCCAUGCCGCGUGUGUGAAGAAGGCCUUAUGGUUGUAAAGCACUUUAAGCGAGGAGGAGGGUACUGGUAUUAAUACUACCAGGUACUGGACGUUACUCGCAGAAUAAGCACCGGCUAACUCUGUGCCAGCAGCCGCGGUAAUACAGAGGGUGCGAGCGUUAAUCGGAUUUACUGGGCGUAAAGCGUGCGUAGGCGGCUAAUUGAGUCGGAUGUGAAAUCCCCGAGCUUAACUUGGGAAUUGCAUUCGAUACUGGUUAGCUAGAGUGUGGGAGAGGAUGGUAGAAUUCCAGGUGUAGCGGUGAAAUGCGUAGAGAUCUGGAGGAAUACCGAUGGCGAAGGCAGCCAUCUGGCCUAACACUGACGCUGAAGUACGAAAGCAUGGGGAGCAAACAGG